rnacentral:rRNA from 1 species
UUUAAAUUUAGAGUUUGAUCCUGGCUCAGGACGAACGCUGGCGGCGUGCUUAACACAUGCAAGUCGAGCGAUGAAGCUUCCUUCGGGAAGUGGAUUAGCGGCGGACGGGUGAGUAACACGUGGGUAACCUGCCUCAAAGUGGGGGAUAGCCUUCCGAAAGGAAGAUUAAUACCGCAUAAUAUAAGAGAAUCGCAUGAUUUUUUUAUCAAAGAUUUAUUGCUUUGAGAUGGACCCGCGGCGCAUUAGCUAGUUGGUAAGGUAACGGCUUACCAAGGCAACGAUGCGUAGCCGACCUGAGAGGGUGAUCGGCCACAUUGGAACUGAGACACGGUCCAGACUCCUACGGGAGGCAGCAGUGGGGAAUAUUGCGCAAUGGGGGAAACCCUGACGCAGCAACGCCGCGUGGGUGAUGAAGGUCUUCGGAUUGUAAAGCCCUGUUUUCUAGGACGAUAAUGACGGUACUAGAGGAGGAAGCCACGGCUAACUACGUGCCAGCAGCCGCGGUAAUACGUAGGUGGCGAGCGUUGUCCGGAUUUACUGGGCGUAAAGGGUGCGUAGGCGGAUGUUUAAGUGGGAUGUGAAAUCCCCGGGCUUAACCUGGGGGCUGCAUUCCAAACUGGAUAUCUAGAGUGCAGGAGAGGAAAGCGGAAUUCCUAGUGUAGCGGUGAAAUGCGUAGAGAUUAGGAAGAACACCAGUGGCGAAGCGGCUUUCUGGACUGUAACUGACGCUGAGGCACGAAAGCGUGGGUAGCAAACAGGAUUAGAUACCCUGGUAGUCCACGCCGUAAACGAUGGAUACUAGGUGUAGGGGGUAUCAACUCCCCCUGUGCGCAGUUAACACAAUAAGUAUCCCGCCUGGGGAGUACGGUCGCAAGAUUAAAAACUCAAAGGAAUUGACGGGGGCCCGCACAAGCAGCGGAGCAUGUGGUUUAAUUCGAAGCAACGCGAAGAACCUUACCUGGACUUGACAUCCCUUGCAUAGCCUAGAGAUAGGUGAAGCCCUUCGGGGCAAGGAGACAGGUGGUGCAUGGUUGUCGUCAGCUCGUGUCGUGAGAUGUUAGGUUAAGUCCUGCAACGAGCGCAACCCUGUUAUUAGUUGCUACCAUUAAGUUGAGCACUCUAAUGAGACUGCCUGGGUAACCAGGAGGAAGGUGGGGAUGACGUCAAAUCAUCAUGCCCCUUAUGUCCAGGGCUACACACGUGCUACAAUGGUAGGUACAAUAAGACGCAAGACCGUGAGGUGGAGCAAAACUUAUAAAACCUAUCUCAGUUCGGAUUGUAGGCUGCAACUCGCCUACAUGAAGCUGGAGUUGCUAGUAAUCGCGAAUCAGAAUGUCGCGGUGAAUACGUUCCCGGGCCUUGUACACACCGCCCGUCACACCAUGAGAGCUGGUAACACCCGAAGUCCGUGAGGUAACCGUAAGGAACCAGCGGCCGAAGGUGGGAUUAGUGAUUGGGGUGAAGUCGUAACAAGGUAGCCGUAGGAGAACCUGCGGCUGGAUCACCUCCUUUCUA